UUGAACUACAUGGUGUUAAAAUAUUCACGUAUAAAGUGUAACGUGUUCAAUAUCCUUCACUUGUUAGAUAUAUUUUAGGUAUGUCAUUUAACAAAAAUUUGACUCAAAACUGUUAAUAACUAUAAGAGAAACGGAUUUAAUAAUUAAAAAAUGAUUAUCUCGUUCGUUAAAUUAGAAUCACUGUAGAAAGGAUCGGCAAGUUAAUAUCGACAUACAUAUUGAAUAUUUAACUGUGAGAUUUAGUUUUGAAAAUUUCUCACGGGAUAUGUAAUUAAAAUCAAGCAAUGACUAAUAUACACGUCGAAUGCAGUUAACUGAUUAAUAAUCGUAUUUGGUACUGUUUUUCCAUCAUCGUGCGCAGCGGCCAAGAUGGGUGUAAUUUAUUUCAAUCGCCAUUUUCUUGAACGGGGGCAAGUAGGGGCAACCAAUUUUUUCUGAUUCUGAUAGAGGAAGGUUCACUCUUUACUGCAGUAAUAAUUAAACCCCUCGCAAGUGGUUGCAAUUUUUUAAAAUCAUACACAAAGUUAAGAUUUUAGUUCAAUGUACUUCGUUUCAAUUAGAUCCUAUUAUUUAAAAAGUUGUUAACAUUUUAACUUACUUUAUGCACUGAAUAGAAUCUAUACUAAUCUAGUAAACUUUAUAAUUCAUUUGAAUUUUAUCUUUCCGAGUAAAGUUCUUUAUAAUCGUACAUUGAAGUUACGGAUAAUAUCAUUAGCGUUUUGUUCUAACGAAUUUCUACUGACUUUGAGUGCGGACCACAGCAAAACGGAAGCAAAUAUGAAAAAACGGUUUACACUUCGUUAAACAAUAGUUUGUUCUCUAUCGAUGUACGCAAAUAGUUUUUCAAUUUGCGAAUUCACGAAGAUCGAAUUUUGAUCAUCGAAAGCCGUUUUGUCCCACUGUGCGCCGGCUACGCUCGUGUCGCGUAUCCCUCUUUUUUUGUAAGUCCCCGAUAUCCCUUUACCCUUCCUCUUUUUUUGAGUUGCCAUUAGCGUGACUGGCACCCAACGGAAGCUUGUAUCGAAAGAACAAGUUCAAGAAACAAGAAACAAAGAAUCUCCUGCUGCACCUUCGAAAUCACCAGGACAACCCGCCGUUAACAAUUACAGAAAGAUCAACAAGGUAAUAGUGAAGGAUAGAUACCCGCUACCACUAAUAGAAGACCAGCUUGAUAAAUUGCAUGAUGCCAAAAUUUUUCCGACGCUCGAUAUGAAAAACGGUUUUUCCAUGUGUCUGUAGAGGAAGGUAGCAGAAAAUACACAUCUUUUGUUACAUAUAAAGGAAAUUAAUAAGCGACGGAAUCGUAGUGCCAUAUAUUGACGAUUUUAUCAUUCCUGCUGAAAAUGAAGACAUAGCGUUUUCAAGAUUAAAGUUAGUACUGGAUACAGCCAAAGAAUUCGGAUUAGAAUUAAAUCUUAAAAAGUGUGCCUUUUUGAAACUAGAAGUAGAAUUUUUAGGGCAGGUAAUAAAA